GAUGAAGAACGCAGCGAAAUGCGAUAAGUAAUGUGAAUUGCAGAAUUCAGAGAAUCAUCGAAUCUUUGAACGCACAUUGCGCCCGCCAGCAUUCUGGCGGGCAUGCCUGUUCGAGCGUCAUUUCAACCCUCGAGCCCCCCCGGGGGCCUCGGUGUUGGGGGACGGCACACCAGCCGCCCCCGAAAUGCAGUGGCGACCCCGCCGCAGCCUCCCCUGCGUAGUAGCACACACCUCGCACCGGAGCGCGGAGGCGGUCACGCCGUAAAACGCCCAACUUUCUUAGAGUUGACCUCGGAUCAGGUAGGAAUACCCGCUGAACUUAAGCAUAUCAAUAAGCGGAGGA
rnacentral:misc_RNA from 1 species